UACGUAGGUGACAAGCGUUGUCCGGAAUCAUUGGGCGUAAAGAGCGUGUAGGCGGCCUGAAAGGUCAGCUGUGAAAACUCGAGGCUCAACCUCGAGACGUCGGUUGAAACCAUCUGGCUAGAGUCCGGAAGAGGAGUGUGGAAUUCCCGGUGUAGCGGUGAAAUGCGCAGAUAUCGGGAAGAACACCCGUGGCGAAGGCGGCACUCUGGGACGGUACUGACGCUGAGACGCGAAAGCGUGGGGAGCGAACAGG
rnacentral:rRNA from 1 species